rnacentral:rRNA from 1 species
UACGAAGGGGGCGAGCGUUGUUCGGAUUUAUUGGGCGUAAAGCGCGUGUAGGCGGUCUCUUAAGUCUGAUGUGAAAGCCCCGGGCUCAACCCGGGAAGUGCAUUGGAUACUGGGAGACUUGAAUACGGGAGAGGGUAGUGGAAUUCCUAGUGUAGGAGUGAAAUCCGUAGAUAUUAGGAGGAACACCGGUGGCGAAGGCGGCUACCUGGACCGAUAUUGACGCUGAGACGCGAAAGCGUGGGGAGCAAACAGG